GUCGGCGCCACUGUGUCACGUGAGAGCCCCCGUCACGUGACGGAGCUGCGGCGCGCGGAGGCUGGGCUGUGCAGGCCCCGCCCCUGUUCUAGGGUCUUUGUUUAUUUUUGUUUUCGUGAAUUUGGCAACGGGGAGCCGGGACCUCAUUGGAUAGACUUAUUCCAGGAUCCAGGAGACUCAGCUGCUCUGCAGAGAGAAGAAGCUCUUGGUCCUCAGGACAGAGCCCCAGCUGAGCAGAGCCUCUGGGAGGGCAGAAGACCCAACAGAAGAAGGUUCCAGUUCCUGCUACUGACACACAUUGGAGAGGAAGUCCUACCAGCAGAGGAGCAGCCCCUGCCCCCAGCAGCCCAUCUGGGACUCCUCCCUCCCCUAGGAGCCUCCUGAGCUUCUCAGCUGCAGAGAGAGGCUGAGAGUCCUGCUGCCUCUCAGGUCCAGGUCUGCUCCUGGGCAGCUUCCUUGCAGAGGGAGUAUCCUGGGACUGAGCUCCUACAGCAUGGACCAGGAGGGCUGCAUAGAGGAGCUGCAGGUACAGGCCAGCUGCCCCGUGUGCCUGGACAUCCUGAGGGACCCUAUGACCCUGGCCUGCGGGCACAACUGCUGUGAGUCCUGCCUGCAGCAGCGCUGGGAAGACCUGCUGGACGUGUUCCCCUGCCCAGUCUGCCAGCACCACUGUGCCCCUGAGAGGCAGCAAGGCAACAGCCAGCUGAGGGCCCUGGGGAACCUGCUGAGGCAGCUG